rnacentral:rRNA from 1 species
CAUAGCUUUAUGGAUAUAUAAAGUUUUUUCUGCCCAGUGGUCUAAACGGCCGCAGUACUUUGACUGUGCUAAGGUAGCAUAAUAAUUUGGCUUUUAAUUGGAGUCUGGAAUGAACGGGAAAUGAUGAAACUGUCUUUAAUUGAUAUUUUAAAUUUACUUAUAAGGUGAAAAUUCCUUAGUUAAUUAUAGACGAGAAGACCCUUAGAAUUUUAAUUUUUUUUGUUGGGGCGAUAAAGUUACAAUAAACUUACUUAUAUUUUUUACAUAUCGGUUAAGGUGAAAUUACCUGAGGGAUAACAGCAUAAUAAUAAGAUUGUGACCUCGAUGUUGGAUUAGGUAAUAAUAAUUAAUAAUUAUUAUUGUUCUGUUCGAACCCUACGUGAUCU